AUCAAGAAAUCUUAAGCUUUACUUUACAAGUGUCAUGACAGUUAAGCACAUUUCAGCCCCUAUCCCCAUAACUUUAAUUCAUCUUGAAGUGAAUGGUUCCCAUGAUUCAAACGUCACCUAACUUUGCAGUAAGAUGUGUAGGGGGUUGAAACAGUUGAGACCACUGAAGUCUGAAACAUUUGAGACCGCUGAAGUGUGUCUAACCACCUGCCUGCAGUGAGACAUUGCACCUUUGCAGUUUACUCAUAUCAGUCUUAAAACUCCCCCUUUAUUUGUUUCUCCACAGGCAAAACAUUGAAAAGCCCCCUCCGUUGGAGAGAGAGACAGAGAGAGAGAGAAGGAUGGAAUAAGAAUGAGAGCGAGUGAAACCGAGUGAGUCAUGUGUGCAGCUUCAAACAACAAGGGGAAAUCCUCUGGAACAUGCAUCACGCAUAGAGUUCCUGACAGCGACAGCUUCAGCUCACCAUCCAGUUUCACAGUAUGGAGAACCUCUGAGAUUUGUGUCCUGCAGAAGAAAUAGUCAUAAAGCUUGAGGGACGUUCCUGAGAUGACAGACAUGCACACCUACAGGAGUUCAGGGGUGAAGCCCCCCAUGGUGACGGAAACGGCCCGAGGAAAGGCCUCAUGCUGGAGGGAGAGGGGCCCAGCAGCUCCCUCAACAAUGGAAGUUCUUGGACGAUUCUAGGAAGGUCCUGUGAUUUACGAUUCAUCUCUUUCUUGAAUGCCACUUCACUCCUUGUUCACUUUGAAACAUGGAGCAGUUUUCAAAAAAGUGUGUUUCUUUGCAUGCACGUGAGACUGUGAUACCCGUGUGACCAAACCGGUCGAGCGGCAUUUUGGCGCCCUCAGAAAAUAAAAAGAAAUAUAUUGUGCAGAGCAGCUAACGUGUCAACACAAGCUUUUAUCAUUCCUUUGUCAGUUUAAAAGCUUUUAUGUGGAAUAAUCUUUCCGACACAAUUUGACAUACUUGAAAAAAUCCACAUAAAUGCCAUUAAUGUUUAAAGACACCCUAUCAGCCUGCUUUUACGCCUAAUUACCCCGGCGAUCCCCUCACUAUGACUGGACUCUCAUUAUGCUCUGAGGGCAUGGAGAAAAGGAGGUUUAACAUCCACAAAAGAAAGAACCUUCUUAUACCCUGGAAAAUGGAUACACUGUGACCUUUAACAUUUGGGGGAUUAGGCUUCAUUAGGGGUUGACCCUAAAACCUCUGUUCACCCGUAUGCUCAUCUCUCUGGGAUUAGAAAUCUUUGACCAAUAGGUCCAUGGCAGUUAAAAGCAGCAGGUUUUAUCAACGUGUAGUGCGUUUGCUACUAGUUUGAUUGUUUAAAAAAAAUCACAAAUAGUGAUGGUAAACAGUUUAGCUUCUCCAUAAACAUUACCAUCUCUUGUUAAAGGUGAAUCGGUCAGUCAGCAGAACAGGCGCAUGACUGGUUGCUUAAUACUUUAUUUCUGCAUCUGUUAUUUCAAUUGUUACUUGCUGGUUAGAAGGUUUAUUUCGUUCUCUAACUAUUUCUGCUGCUAUUUUUCGUUGUAAUUUAUAUUUUUGAUUGCACUUUAUUUGCAAUCAGAGCAAUAGCCAUCGGCUUAGAAAGAGCUUUUGUUAUUUAUAUUGCUCCGUUCCUGCACUUAAGUGCGAACUUUAGUUUCAAUUUGAGUGAUUUGGGAGUGCUAAUUUAACUAUAGGUGCCGCAGCGGUAUUCUCUGAAGUGUCGGGUGGCUGUAUUUGUUUGUUGUCUGUCAGCUGAGGAGGAAGCUGGAUGGUCUGCAGUCCUCAUUCCCAGAGGAUAGCAGUCCACUUUUAGUCUUCGGCAACUUUAAAAUUCAUUAAAGUCUUAAGCUGCAGACUUCCAUUCACUCCUAGAUUUAUUACAAACCCCUUGCACCAACCCCUCUACCUGUUACUUUUAGAUGAAACCUGCGCUCCCUUUCACCCUCCCAUCUUUCCUCUGUACUAUCCUCCUCUCUUCCCUCUCCUACCCAUUUCUGAUAGUGAGUGACGGCUCAUGGUACCAUCACAGAGAGGCUCAAAAUCACUUUCCAGAAAAAUUUUCUUUUACUGUUCCUGGCUGGUGGAAAGAUCUUCCAACUUGGUAUGACGAGCACUUCCUGUGUCUAUUUGUCUCUUUAAGAUGAAUCGCUUGAUGCAUUCCCCAAUUGUAAGACGCUUUAGAUAAAAGCGUCUGCUAAAUUAAUAAAUGUAAAUAUAAGGCUGUUUUAAUUAGUUUACGAUUAACUAGAUAUUCAGGCUAGUUAGUUCUGUAUAUAAUUAUGCACCAAAUUUUUAAGAAAUACAUAAAGUAAAUGUCCAAAAAUAUGUUUGUUUUUUAUUUGAUCAGUUAUCCCAAAACAAAGCAAAGAGGGACAUGGAUCUGAAACCUGUGAGUCAUUAUGUACUCAACUUGGGAUUAAAAUAAAGCCACUUUGUUUUAAAAGUUCAGGGAAGUUACUGUUAGUUCCUUAAAACCAUUACUCGUUGUGACAAUGAAGUUCAGGUGAUUCUGUGUUGAAAGAUAAAGUGUUCUAGGCUGUGCUACUGAAGCUAAAGUUAUUCAACUGAUUACAUACUAGAUCAGGAAAACUUUCAGCAAAUGAUCCAUAUCUGCAGCAUCUAAAUAACUGCUUUCAUGGCAAUUAUGACAUCAGUUCUUGAAAGACAUAAAGUCAGUUGUGUGACAGUAUGCCAUUUAUAGUUUAUCAGUUCAACUGAUGAAAGUGAAAUGUAAUUCAUGUGACGGGUCAUAUUGCACUACUUUUAUGUUAUUCUAAAGAUAAAACCUGUAAAUGAAAGGGGAUGGUUGUUCUUAGUACUGAGUUAAAUGACAAAGUAUAUGAGAUUAUCAAGAAAGAGUAAUGUUUGUUUCAUGGCCACUGAGUGCCAUAGAUGUGAAGUCAACACGAAACGGUGUUCAAAUCCCAUUGUACUUUCAUAAUGGAGUGUAUUUUAGAAUGAAAUAAGAUAUUCUGUGGGAAAAGGAUGAUGAAUGAGACCGGUUUAAUUGGAUUGUGAAAAGCUAUUUGUUUAUGGCAGGCUUUUGGAAGGGAGAGGUUGGGAAAGUUGAUUACUUUUUGAUAAGAUUACAAAUACAACACUGAGCUGAUGAAUCAUGCUCAAUAAUGUGCAUUAAUUGGGUCAAUUUUGAUUUCAUAUUGCAUUCAUGAAGGUAAUAUUGCCCAGUAGUCCUUAAAAGUAUAG